GUCGGGCAUGGUGGCAGGUGCCUGUAAUCCUAGCUACAUGGGAGGCUGAGGCAGAAGAAUCACUUGAACCCAGGAUGUGAGGGUUACAGUGAGCUGAGAUCACACCACUAUACCCCCGCCUGGGUGACAGAGUGAGACUCUGCCUCUA
ensembl:misc_RNA Metazoa_SRP Metazoan signal recognition particle RNA